CGUCACAUCUGUAUGGUUGCAUGUCAACAAUAGAAAAUCUUGAAAUCUUUGUAAUGGACGACGAGUCGGUUAUAAACUGGACUUGGUAUAACCACCAACUGCAGUGGUUAUUGCAUAUGUACAAUAUGUACAAUAAGCAAAUUAUUAUUAUAUUGUACAGAAAAGAAAAGCUGCUGCAGUUGCAGCUACACUUUUACAUUUGAGAAAAAGUGGAAAAAAAAGAUAUUGUAAAAAGAAAUAUUGGAUAGAACCCAGUUUUCAAGAAAGGAAAGUGCAUGGAUUCUUUCAUGCUGUGCUACCUAAACUCGUUUUAGAAGAUUUGAGAUUUAAUAAUUACAUACGCAUGUCUGCAACUCAAUUUGAAAAGUUAACAUUCUUAGUUGGAGCAGACAUAUUCGCUCCUUGCGAAUAUUCGCUACAAGCUGAAACUUUUCAGCGAACAGCGAUUACUCGCUAGCGAACAGCGAAUGAUCACGUGACCUUCAUUCGCGGCGAUUAUUUCGCUGCAUGAAACGGCACCUUCAUGGUAUACCAUGGAAACACUGCUAGAUAUCACCACGGCCUCAUGUUAAAAUCGAGGUAAUAGUACGACUCGACAGCAAAACGUUCGCAACUCUAUUUUCACCAAUUUUCAACAAUUUUCAAUAAAUAGUAUUGUUCAACGACGAGAUGGACUUUCGAAUACAACUCAACAGCGACUCGAGAAAGCUUAUUAUAUAAUAUAUAAUUAUAAAUAUUAUAACAAUAUUAGAAAGCUUAUGAAAAA
rnacentral:lncRNA from 1 species